GAUGAACGCUGGCGGCGUGCCUAAUACAUGCAAGUCGAGCGAACAGACGAGGAGCUUGCUCCUCUGACGUUAUCGGCGGACGGGUGAGUAACACGUGGAUAACCUACCUAUAAGACUGGGAUAACUUCGGGAAACCGGAGCUAAUACCGGAUAAUAUAUUGAACCGCAUGGUUCAAUAGUGAAAGACGGUUUUGCGUUCACUUAUAGAUGGAUCCGCGCCGCAUUAGCUAGUUGGUAAGGUAACGGCUUACCAAGGCAACGAUGCGUAGCCGACCUGAGAGGGUGAUCGGCCACACUGGAACUGAGACACGGUCCAGACUCCUACGGGAGGCAGCAGUAGGGAAUCUUCCGCAAUGGGCGAAAGCCUGACGGAGCAACGCCGCGGGAGUGAUGAAGGUCUUCGGAUCGUAAAACUCUGUUAUUAGGGAAGAACAAAUGUGUAAGUAACUAUGCACGUCUUGACGGUACCUAAUCAGAAAGCCACGGCUAACUACGUG
rnacentral:rRNA from 1 species